UACGGGGGGGGCAAGCGUUGUUCGGAAUUACUGGGCGUAAAGGGCGCGUAGGCGGUGCUCUAAGUCGGAUGUGAAAACUCUGGGCUCAACCCAGAGCCUGCAUCCGAAACUGGAGUGCUAGAGUUCUGGAGGGGGUAGCGGAAUUCCUGGUGUAGCGGUGAAAUGCGUAGAUAUCAGGAGGAACACCGGUGGCGAAGGCGGCUACCUGGACAGAAACUGACGCUGAGGCGCGAAAGCUAGGGGAGCAAACAGG
rnacentral:rRNA from 1 species